rnacentral:tRNA from 1 species
AAUUGAAAUAAUUAUAAUCUUUGAACCCACAAAUCAAUAUUUUACUUAAACUAUUUCAAU